GCAGCGGAGCGUGUGGUUUAAUUCGAUGUGACACGAAGAACCUUACCUGGGUUGACAUGAAGGUAGUAGGGAAGCGAAAGCAGACGACCCUUCGGGAGCCUCCACAGGUGCUGCAUGGCUGUCGUCAGCUCGUGCCGUGAGGUGUUGGGUUAAGUCCCACAACGAGCGCAACCCCUCGUUGCCAGUUAUACAUUUCUGGCGAGACUGCCGGCAUAUAACCGGAGGAAGGUGGGAUGACGUCAAGUCAGCAUGGCCUUUAUAUCCAGGGCUACACACACGCUACAAUGGCCGGUACAGAGGGGCGCAAAGCCGCGAGGUGGAGCAAAUCUCACAAAGCCGGUCUCAGUUCAGAUUGCAGGCUGCAACCCGCCUGCAUGAAGUCGGAGUUGCUAGUAACCGCAGGUCAGCUAUACUGCGGUGAAUACGUUCCCGGGUCUU
rnacentral:rRNA from 1 species